rnacentral:snRNA from 1 species
GCUGAGCUCCAUGUGGUGGAUUCGCGAGGCUUUGCCAUUGCACAUCGGCUUAGCUGACCCUUGCGAUUACCCCAAAUGUGGGUAACUCGGUCGUAUAAUUUCUGGUAGUGGGGACUGCGUUCGCGCUAUCCCCGU